rnacentral:rRNA from 1 species
GACGAACGCUGGCGGCGUGCUUAACACAUGCAAGUCGAACGGAAAGGCCCUGCUUUUGUGGGGUGCUCGAGUGGCGAACGGGUGAGUAACACGUGAGUAACCUGCACUUGACUUUGGGGUAAAUUCAGGAAAAAGGGGCUAAUACCGGGUAGGAGCUCCUGAUGCGUGGUGGGGGUUGGUGAGAUUCGGCGGUUUGGGCUGGAAUAGCGGCUUAUGAGCUUGUUGGUGGGGUAGGGGAUUACCAGGGGUUCGAAGGGUAGGCGGCCUGAGAGGGUGGCCGGCCACCUUGGGCCUGCGGUACGGCCCAGACGCCUACGUUCGGCAGCAGUGGGGAAUAUUGCGCAGUGGGCCGACGCCUGAUGCGGCAACGCCGCGUUCGUAAUGCCGUCCUACGGGUUGUAAACCGCUUUCUCCUUUGCCGAAGCCUUAUUGACGGUAAUGGGUAAGGAAGCCCCGGCUAACUACGUG